rnacentral:rRNA from 1 species
AGUGAACGCUGGCGGUAGGCCUAACACAUGCAAGUCGAGCGGCAGCACAGUAAGAGCUUGCUCUUACGGGUGGCGAGUGGCGGACGGGUGAGGAAUACAUCGGAAUCUACUUUUUCGUGGGGGAUAACGUAGGGAAACUUACGCUAAUACCGCAUACGACCUACGGGUGAAAUCAGGGGAUCUUCGGACCUUGCGCGAUUGUAUGAGCCGAUGUCGGAUUAGCUAGUUGGCGGGGUAAAGGCCCACCAAGGCGACGAUCCGUAGCUGGUCUGAGAGGAUGAUCAGCCACACUGGAACUGAGACACGGUCCAGACUCCUACGGGAGGCAGCAGUGGGGAAUAUUGGACAAAGGGCGCAAGCCUGACCCAGCCAUACCGCGUGAGUGAAGAAGGCCUUCGGGUUGUAAAGCCCUUUUGUUGGGAAAGAAAAGCAGCAGGUUAAUACCCCGCUGUUCUGACGGUACCCAAAGAAUAAGCACCGGCUAACUUCGUG